UUUAGUCUGCGAAAGUAGUUUAUUUGAUAAGGGAAUAAAUAAGAAGUAAAGCCUCUGUAGAUACAAGGAAAAACAAUUGCAUUAAGUUCUGCAUAUUUAGAACACAGUGUCACAAGCUACAGACAUGGAAAGUAUCUGAAAAGAACCUGACUUAUCUGGAAUCUAUGCAAACAAUUCUGUCACCCAAUUCUCCAAAGUGUUCAAUGUUUCUAGUGAACAGACUAGCAGAAACCCAACUAUUUCAACAGCAGGAGCAGGUUUUCAGAAAAAUACAAACAAUUCCUAAAUCUUGCAACCUUAGAUCUAAUCUAAAUUAGGGAUGCAAAGUAGGUUGAUUUAUUAGAGCUUUCUGCCAGCUUUUACUGACAUGGAAAAGCCAAACAAACAACAAAUAGGGAUACUCAGAGCACAGUUAGCUGAUUUCUGCCAAGUCCCAUAGAUACCUGCUCCUCACAGGUCGUAAGAGAAAAUAAUAUGAAUUUUGCUCUCUUUAGAAUAACAACAAGAAGUAAAAACCCUUAUAAAGCAGUAUCAGUAUCCGGUUUUGAUAUGCACAUUGUUACGUUAUAGUCCUUCUGUCAUAUCUAAAAUAAUAAUGCUAAAAAUGUGUAUUUAUAGAGCUAUUUUCUUCAGAGACAGAACAAUUACAGUUUAUAUAUGCUUUUAAGCAGAAUGAAAAGAACUACAAUCCACACACUUCUGUCUUUUACAAAUACAGCCUUAAGCCAAUGCAUUCAAGUGUAGCAUGCCUUUUGAGUACACAUGUGUCAAGAUAACCCAAACAGCACUGUGGAAGCAAUACACUACCCAUUGUAAUGCCAUCAAACAUGACAUUUCUUUUAAGCAGACAAAAAACCCUAAUGCACACAAAGUAAAAAACAUUUUUAUCUCACCCAUAAUACGCAUUCACCAUAAAAUAUGUUAGAAUUAGUAUAUAGAACUCAAAGACAGUUGACACCUCCUAGAUGUAGGCUUUCAGGGUAACUCAUACUGCAGUUUACUCUUCCUUCCAACACAGUAAUUGAAACAACAAUGCAUUAAGCACUGAUAUUCCUGAAAAGGCUUAUAAAACAAUUUAGAUAAUUGCAGUAGAGUCAUUCUCUUACAAAAAAAAAAAA
rnacentral:lncRNA from 1 species